rnacentral:lncRNA from 1 species
AUUCUUCAUCGACUGAAAGAUCAUGAAGUGAUUGCUAGCACCGUCCAGAUGGUCCGUGACUCAUCCGGUUCGUGAGACGAAGAUCGAUCGGGUAUGCGCCAAUUCCGUGUGGAUACGCGUAGAGGCCGGGCAUGUGCGUGGCUAAUCGGAAUCUCUAUUCGUCAUAUUCACUUUCAACCGUACAGUAGAUCAAGAGACCUUAACUGGUCCAUGGUAAGAUUUCUAAACAUAAAGAGUUUUUGUUUAGAUUAAUUUUUGCAUAGUAACAUGAGAAUGAUCCGCCGGCAACGGUUUGAUUUAUUGGUUUUCGGUUUUCAUAUGUGAUAUGUAUUUAGCUUUCGAAAAAUUUUAAAAGUGCAAAAUUAUUUUCCGCUGCGUUUUUUCUAAUGUGCCGGUUAUUUUCUAACAAUAUUAUGCCCCAAAACAAAUAAAUAAAUAAGCAAAUACGAGAUCAAGAUAGUCCAUAUAUAAAUAUAAAACAUAGAAGGUUCACAUACAAGCAUAGUUGGAAACUGAUACAAGGUAAAACUUGCACUUCGCAUAGUGCAUACUAGCAUAUCUAAAAUCCAAACAGUAAACAAAUAAAAGAUAGAAGGUUCACAUACAAGCAUAGUUGGAAACUAAAUAUAAGUUAAAACUUGCACUUUGCAUAGUGCAUACUAGCAUAUCUAAAGUCUAAACAGUAAACAAAUAAAAGAUAUAUAAAGUUCAUAAUUCCGCAUAUAAGCAUACAUAAAAGCUUGAAUAAACAUAAAGCAUACAAGCACAGAAAGUUCUAGGGGGGUUUGAGUCUUGCGACACCACCCGAGUACACUUUAGAACAAUAUUUGCACUUAAAUUUUUCAUUCAAUUCUUCCGCGUGAAUCCAAAACCUAUCUUUCUUUCGAACCAUUUUUCUGCACAAAAAAAUUAACGACUCAAAUAUUUCAAGCUCUAACACAUGACCGCCUAACAUGGAUUCUCGAAAGAAUAAAAUUACAUCGAAAGAAUAUUAAAAUUACCCAUCAAUCAUGCAUCAAACAUAACCUAACUCGUAAGUAAUAAAUCCCACUUCAUCGGUUCUGAGUCUUCACUCUUCAUACAACAAUAAGCAAAUUAAUGAAUGUAACAACAAGUAACAACAACUUAACUAGGACUAACAUGGAAAUCCGGAGUUAAGAGAAAGAGAAGGAUUCUAAAGUUAGACAUCUUCAAACUCUUAUUCUCCAGAUCUUCUCAUUUUAUAGUGAAAAAUUGCUACAUUUCUAAUACUAAAAAGUUAGGUUUCAAAAAUUAAGUAGAAACCCCACUAAGUCAAUGAUCCAUGAAAGACCACAACAAAUUUUCCUUUUGCAAGUGUUGACAAGAUCAUGAAAUUGAUUAGGUAUAAUACAAGAGUUCCUGAUCCCUAAGUUAAUUAAGAUUAUUUAGCUCUAUGUUUGGGUCUUCUAUGUUUGGGCUUAACAGAGAAUGGACACAUACAUUCAAUUUAAGCACUCGAGCCAUUUGUGUAUAAAAAUGUAUCCAUCAGAUGGACUAAAAGCUUCCAACUUUUGCUUUGAAGAAUGAAAACUCAAAUCGUACCUGAAUUGUAAAGAACCACCCGAUUACUGAUCUAUCGUUGGA